rnacentral:lncRNA from 1 species
UCGUAUAGGCCUAGAGUCAUAACAAAUAUUUUAUUUCAUAUUUUCAAGUAAAGAUUAUUUAAGUGAAAUUGAUGAGCUGAAAUGCACUGUCUUUUCCUUUUUAUAUACCAAAAACUUUUCUAGUGGACCUUAUCAGUUGUCACAAAUAUUAAAAAGCUUUCGAUUAGUCUGAUGAGAAACAUUUUCCUCCAAAAAAAGCCUAGUGGAAACAUGCCAAGUUAGUUAAUGGAUAGAAUGUGUGUAUGAUAAUUCUAAGCAGGAGAUUUUGUUCCUUUGUUCUGUCAACCUCGAACAAUGAUACUCUUUUUAUUUUAAAGGAUUGGAUAUUAGUAGAUCUUCACACUUAUGAUCUUUUUUGCAGGUGUGCUUAAACAAAAAAGACCAUGUCAUAAAAUUUAUUGAAGAGAAUUUCAAAAUCAAUUCUUUGGAGAGAUCAAUCUUAGUUUGUGGAGAUUGUAACUGGAGAGACAGCACCUCAGCCCUGUUAUUUGCGUGCUUCAUGUUCUGUUUCCAGAAGUUAUUCAAGAAUCUGUGUGAUAAACAAGUUUUCUUUAUGAUAUAUGUGGAAGUGGAAGUAUAUAAGAGUAUAUUAAGGUAAAUUAAGGUAAAUGCCGUGAAAUAAGCUUUAACGUGUAAGAUCAUUCAACUUCUAUUUUUCUAAAAUUACUUCUUGAAGAGUUUAUAUAGAAUUGACUCUAAUCUUCAAUGUCCUCUAAGCAAAGCGGUAAUUUAUUACUGACUUUCAGCACAGUUUUGUAGCUUCUAUGACUAAUAAUUCGUGCAAAUAUAUAUUCUUUUCAUUGGAAGAAUUAUUGACAUAACCUAAAAAACAACCAUUUAUCAUAGGAAAACAUCAGAAGCUGCUGUAGUAUAUCAAAAGUCUGGCCUAUUACCUUCAAAUGUCUUAUCAAUCAUAAAGCUCAAUUUUAAGAAUAAAUAAAAAUUUACCAGCUUCACUUAUCUUUUGUCGAACAUUAGAUUUUAGAUGUCAGUUUGCAAAUGAGGUGAACAGGCAUAGCAGUGAAGUGUUUAUCAUCCUGUGUAAGCUUAUUUGUACAAAAAAAUGGACAUAUCUAGUCAACAAAACUAUAUAUAACUCAAUGAAAUGUUGCAUGCUUUUACCAAACCACUUAAUGUCUACACUUUCUGCUUAUAAUAUACAUUUAACAGACCACAUGUAACAGGUAGCUGUUAAACAAGAGAGAAAAGCAAAUUAAUAUAAUAUCGUUGAAAUAUUUUUGUCAGCAAUUUCUGUUGCAAGUAAUUUACAACACAACCAAACACAGCCAGGGCAUUCAUACUGCCUUCACAAGGCGCUUCAUCGUAGAGCAGCCCCCAUUGCUCCUAGUGCAGCUUCCCUCUUCAUCUCAGCAGUCUUACCCCCGCCACGGAAGUACAUAUAUACUUGCUGUAUGCAACCAAAGCAAAAAAUUAGCACGUUACAGGCACUUUAGUUAUGUGCAUUCUUAGUGAUAGGUGCAUCCACUUCAAGAAAUAUGCUAACAUAUUGGAAAGUUUAAUCAAACCUGAAUAACCCAGACGCUGAUUAAUGUUUCAAGACAGAACAAUCCAAAUCCAACGAAGUAGAAAAUCUACAAGAAAGUGGACAUAACGCCGUUAAGCAGAAAUAUUUUCAUUUCUUAGAUUUUGCAUUAUUUGCUUUAGAACUGUAAUGUGGCUCAUGAUGCAAAUGUUAAUUUGGCAUAGCAUGUGUAAAAUCGUCAAAGCAAUGGCAAUCCUCAACAAAUAUCAAACAGAAUGCAGGAAUAAUAUAUAUACUUCAGGAGAGACAUACUUACCCCAAUCAAAGUAUGGUCACCAAUCACAUCUAUGGCUGACAGAAUGCCUCUGUAUCAAUGAGAAGAUAUUACCAAGCAUUAGGCCAAAUAAAUGAGAAUGACCAUUUUUACCAACAUGCCUACCAGUCUGACUUUCUUAGUUAUUCUAGGAUCAUGUAAGACUUCAGCUCAGGUAUAUUUUGUGUAGAGUAAUUAAUUAUCUACAUGUUCUAGGUUCAAUUCAUGACAAAUACUAUAGUUUGUUUUUCAAAGAUACUUCUUUCACUUCUAUUAUAGAAAACAUCAAUAAAUGCCUUUUUCCAACUGAUUAGGGUUGAGCACAUAGAUCAAAUAGCACCUUUGUGUUAAAAAUCAAGUUUGUGGAAAGGCAGUUUAAAAUCAUCAAUCUCCAGGUACACGAUAAAACCCUAUGUAUAAGCAUUAAGGAAUAUGCAAAAGUGUCGUAUUAAAUAAGGUGUGUAUAUAUGAAGUCAACAUACGUCAGGGAUUUUCCUUUGAAAACUAUAGGAGAAGCAACUGCAGCUAAGAUACAGAACCCAAGGUGAAGCUGUAAGCAGAAAAAGAAAUGAGGCUGAUUAAAAUUUGCUGAAUACAUAAAACAAAGCUAACGUACAAAAAGGAAAAUAGUCAAUUUACCUAGUAAAACAGGAAAAAUCGUCCAAAUUUAAUAGCACUAUCCGUCCUGCAAAAGUAACAAUGCAACAAAUCCACAAUCAAGAGAGUAUUCAAAUCAGAAAGAUAGCACUAUUAAAUUUAAUAGCACUAUCAAUAAACAACCUCAUCUUUCCAGAAAUGGAUGACAGAACAAUGUAAUAGACCUUCAAAUAGUUCGACUUAAUAGAAAAUAAAAUAAAACAAAAUAGAAAAUAAAGUAAAACCCUAUCCCCUUUGGUACAGAAGAAAUUCCAAUGCAUUAGUUCAUUUAACUCAUCAAAUCAAAACAGUAUUUUCACCCAAACUUAGAAGAACUAAAUGGAAAAUGCUUUCAUCAUGUCAUUGCAUACUCACAAAACAGGUUUUAUAUAUAUAUUAGGGGCAUGGAAAACAAAAAGGAGCCAACUUUCAAUACUUAUCAGUAUACUAAGAUGUAAAGCUUGCAAUUGACACCAUUUAAAAGCAAUGCUGCACCCUCUUGUUUGUUUAUUGAGUGCUACCUCGCUCUGUGUGGUGUGAGCCAAUAAUCAUCCCCACAAAAAGAAAACAAGAUAGGACAACUUACCCAACAACGAACUAAAUGCAACAUAUUGAAGUCUUUGAAGGUGAAUUGGAAUCUCAUUUGGGAUAUCGUGAUGGAUAAUUGGGAAAAAUGGUGGCCAAUUCUUCUCCUCAAUAACAAUUCCAGCUGCAAAACAAAGUGAAUACAUGCUAAGGAUAAAAGCAGAACUAAAGAUAUUGAUUGUCAAGUUAAAGCAUUAGUUCAAACUUUCCUAGGAGAUAAGUGCCCAAAUCACGGGUAGAAUGAGCCGACUGGUAUAUAUAACGGAAUGCCACUUACCUAUAGAAUCCUCAAGUGGUAGUUUUAUUCGAGCAUUCAAUUGAAUGCAGACACAAAUAGAAAACAACUAAGUUAAGAAAUAAACUUAAUCACAAAUACAGGAAAUGUAAAUUACCUCGUGAAAUGGCUUCUUCUUUCCGUCUGAGUUCCUGCAUUUUGAUAAAUUAAUAGACAUAAAAAUGCAGGUAAUUCCAGGCAUGCUUAUUUAACAAGAAACUAGUACUCAAGGCUUCAUAUACACAAAGUUAACUGAAAAUGAACUUCACCAUAUACAUUCCAAACAUAUAAUAGGAGACACCAAGAUUUGUAGAGGCUAACACAUGUUAAAGAAUAUCCACUAUUCCAGAGAUCAAUCAACCUUCAUGGUGUCCUCAUGGUGUCCAAUUUUAAAAAAAUAAUAUAGUAACCACAGUUUCAAGCACUACACUUCAGAAAUUUAUUUAUAUAAAAAUAACUUAGUUCAGAUUAAAAAAACAGAGUUGUUAAUUAACAGUAUGUAUUAUUUAUCAAUUAAACAUUGGUCUAGCUAAUUGUUCCUACACGGAAACAUACAAAUUGAAACUUAGCAAAGAAAAUUAGAUUCCACAGUAAAUACUAGUUUUCUCGGGAUAAAACCUGAGAAGACUAAUUGGGUGAUGUAUCAAUACCAUCUUGGCAGUAAUGAAAAAGAAAAAGAUGGAGAAUUAGUUGUUUCAAAAGUCUUUUAUCAAAUACAACCUAAACAUUCUGGUAAUUCUAUUAAUGUAAGAGAUUCAUAUGAAAAAGUAAUUAACAAUGGAACUGAUCAUGGUAAAAAUGCUAAAGUACCCAACAUUUUAGCUCGUGUGAAAUGCUACAAUGCUCAUUAUACAAAUUAUGACCAUGUACAUGUUGGUGGUGAUAGUAAUGAAAGUUCACAACUUAUUCCAAAUUUGGUGAUGGAUCUAUUAAUCGCUAAUCAGUGUAUGCAGACAAAGUAAGAGCACAUAAGAGAAAAUAACAUUUGGAAGAACUUCUUGCUAGAAGUGGAAUAGUGAUUUUAUUACUAGAUAGUUAGCAGUAAAAUAACAACAUUUUUUUUUUUGUUUGUAGAUCAAAUAUAACAACAUUUAUAUACUUGGGAUUGAAAUUAGGAAGAAGUAGGUUGGCUUCUAUAUAUUUGGAAUAUUUUUUUAUACAUUAUAUGGUGACUUAAGUAUAUGGUAUAUACAUAUGUAUUUUUUUUAUACUUAUAUUAUGGUAUAGAAGAACUAUACUAAUAUGGAAUAUAUUCCCAUUGUUAAAAGAAGUAAAAAAAUGUAACACAAAAAAAAAAAAGAUAUUCAAUAACCUUUUAGUAUAUUUUUGGAUGAGAUAAUUAAAUUUUUUAGCAAUUUCAAAUUAUUCAUUUAAAUUUUAUAAUUUUACUUUUUUUAUAAAGUAUUUAAAACUCUUCAUCUCUAUAAAUAAUUUUUUUAAUAGAAAAAUAAUAUAAUAUAAUAUAAUAUAAUAUAAUAUAAUAUAAUAUAAUAUAAUAUAAUAUAAUAUAAUAUAAUAUAAUAUAAUAUAAUAUAAUAUAAUAUAAUAUAGUGAAAUAUUUUUAAGAAAAGUAAAAAUAGUAAGCGUUGUUAAUUCGUAUAUUGAUGUUUCGUUUUCGUAAGGAUUUAACAAAUGGAAUCCACAUUUUCAUUGCAUUAUUAUCAUUUUUUCCGAUAUGGAGAUAUGUUGUUCUCUUUCUCUACUUAGUUUUACUUUUUCACAAUUUUCUUUUAAAAGACUCUUGCAUUCAUUUCGUUUCUUAUAAUUCAUUUUUAACUAUAUAAACAUAAUUAAAUAUUUAAAACCUAUUAAAUUAGAUUAUUUAUUCUAUUCUUAUAAUUUAAAAUUAAAUAAAAAAGAGUAACCGUACUUAAAUAAAAUAAUAAAUAUAACAAUAUUGAUAUUAUUAAAUUAAAUAUUUUAUUUUAAGUUGAAAUUAUUAGUGAUCAAUUUAAUGAUAUUCUAUAACUAUGUGUUCACACGUGCCAAGCAAGAGUGACACAACAUAGUCAACAGUUUGGUAAAGAACCCAUUUGAGCUUAGUGAGUGCUGCAACAAACAAUUGUUCUCUGAUUUGAAAUCACUUCUCUUCUCUUUCUAAAUCAUGGAUGCUGCUGCUGUUGGUGGAGCUUUUCUCUCUGCUUUCCUUCAAGUUCUUCUCGACAGGCUUGCUUCUCCUCAGCUUGUUAACUUCAUCUAUGGAAACAAGGUUGACGCCAAUUUGAUCCAAAGGUUGAAGAACACUCUUUAUGCUGUUGAAGCUGUUCUGAAUGAUGCUGAGCUGAAACAGAUCAAAGACUCUGCUGUUAACAACUGGCUUGAUGAUCUCAAAGAUGCUCUCUAUAUUGCUGAUGACAUUCUCGAUCACAUUUCCACCAAAGCUGCUACUACUCAUAAGAACAAAGAGGUGAGUACUACUGCUUCUAGCUACUUGUCUCGCUUUUUCAACUUUGAAGAAAGGGAUAUGGUUCGUAAGUUGGAAGAUAUAGUUGCUAGGCUUGAAUCCAUUCUCAAACACAAAGAUAUUAUUGGUCUUCAACAUAUUGCAACUCACCACCAUUCUUCUUGGAGAACUCCAUCAACCUCUCUAGAUCAUGGAUCUAACAUAUUUGGUAGAAAUCAAGACAUAGAGGACAUACUCAACUUACUGUUACAUGAUGGUGAUGAUGUUGAUAGUGAUAAAAUUUCUGUGAUCCCCAUAGUUGGCAUGGGGGGUGUGGGAAAAACCACUUUAGCCCAAUCUGUGUACAACCAUCAAAGUAUAAAGCAGAAAUUCGAUGUUCAAGCAUGGGUUUGUGUUUCUGAUGCUUUUGAUGUUUUGAAGGUUACAAAGGCCACUGCAGAGGAGGUUAAAAGUGCUUCUAACACAAAUAAUUUGAAUAUUCUUCAGCAAGAUUUGAAGGAUAAGUUGACCGGAAAAAAGUUCUUAAUUGUUCUGGAUGAUGUCUGGACCGAAGAUUAUGACAAUUGGAAUUCUCUUAUAAAGCCUCUUCGGUGCGGUGCUAAAGGAAGUAAAAUUCUUGUAACAACCCGUAAUGAAAAGGUUGUUUCUAUGGUCCAAACUUUUCAAGGUCACUACUCUCUUAAGCAAUUGUCUGAUGAGGAUUGUUGGUAUGUGUUUGCAAAACAUGCUUGCCUUUCUCAAGAAAAAUCCACUGAGAAUAUGGAUCUCGAAAAAAUUGGGAAAGAGAUUGUUAGAAAAUGUAAGGGAUUGCCUAUAGCAGCACAAUCACUUGGAGGUUUGUUGCGAAGGAAACGUGACAUCAGGGAUUGGAAUAAUAUACUCAAUAGUAAUAUUUGGGAAAUUGAUGAAAAUGCGAGUAAGAUCAUUUCAGCACUAAGAAUUAGUUAUCAUUAUCUCCCUUCCUAUUUGAAACGCUGCUUUGUUUAUUGCUCCUUGUAUCCUAAGGAUUAUAAAUUUGAUAAAGACGAUUUGAUCUUGUUGUGGAUGGCAGAAGAUCUUUUACAGCCUCCAGAAAAUGGAAAGACUUUGGAAGAAGUUGGUUAUGAGUAUUUUAAUGACUUAGCUUCAAGAUCUUUUUUUCAACGUUUUGGAAGUGGAAACCGCUCACAGCAUUUUGUGAUGCAUGAUCUGGUGCAUGAUUUAGCAACAUUGAUUGGGGCAAAAUUCUACCUUAGAACAGAAGAACUUGGCAAAGAAACGAAGAUUGAUAACAAGACUCGUCAUUUAUCAUUUAACAAUUUAAGUGAACCAGUGGCGGAUAACUUUGAGAUUUUUGACCGAGCAAAACAUCUUAGGACCGUUUUGACAAUCAGUUUUAGAGGUACUUCAUUCAACCAUGAAAAGGAACUAUGCAUCAUUUUGUUGAAUUUGAAGUGCUUGAGAGUUUUGUCAUUUAAAUUUUUUUGGGAUCUUAAUGCAUUGCCUGACUCGAUAGGUGAGCUGAUUAAUUUGCGUUAUGUGGAUCUCUCUUUCAAAGCUAUGAAGACACUACCGGAGUCAUUGUGUAAUCUGUAUAAUCUACAAACCUUGAAGUUGUACAAUUGUUAUCAACUAAUCAAACUUCCCAAUGGCAUGCAAAAGCUUGUGAAUUUGCGCUAUCUUGAUAUCCGCUAUACUCCAAUGUUAGAAGAUAUGCCUAGUGAAAUGGGCAAAUUAAACCAUUUGCAACAUUUGAGUUGCUUUGUUGUGGGCAAGCAUAAAGAGAAUGGGAUAAAGGAACUGGGACCACUGUCAAAUCUUCACGGAUCACUUUCCAUUAGUAAAUUAGAGAAUGUUAGCAACAACAUUGAAGCAUCACAAGCGAAUAUAAUGGAUAAGAAGUACCUUGAAGAAUUAUCUUUUGAAUGGUCUGAUAAUGCAAAAGACCAAUUUACAAAUUCACAAAGUGAGAUGGAUAUACUAGACAAGUUACAUCCUGCCAAGAACCUAAAAAAGGUGUCUAUAUGGGGAUAUAGAGGCACGAGAUUUCCAGAAUGGAUUGGAGAUCCUUCCUACCAAAAUUUGACUAAGUUGUCUCUAUCUGAUUGUCAUAAUUGUUGUAUUCUUCCACCACUUGGACAAUUACGCUCUCUCAAGGACUUGAGCAUCAAGAUAAUGAGUAUGUUGCAGACUAUUGGAUCUGAAUACGGUGAUUCCUUUUCUGGGAUUCUCUUUCCCACCCUUGAACGUCUUGAAUUUGAUGACAUGCCAUGUUGGGAAGUGUGGCAUCAUCCCCAUGACUCAAAUGCUUAUUUUCCUGUACUCAAGUCUCUUGUGAUUCGUGGUUGUCCCUUAUUGAGGGGAGAUUUGCCAUCUCAUCUUCCUGCUUUGGAAACAAUUCAGAUUGAACAAUGCGACAAAUUUGCUUUUUCUCUCCCACGGGCUCUUGCCAUCCGCAAAUUAGUGAUACGUGAAAACAAUAAAGUAGUGUUGCGAGAGCUACCUCUUUCAUUGGAAGAGAUCGAAAUUCAUGGAAGAGAGGCAACGGAGUCCUUCUUUGAAGUCAUUGCCAUCACCCUACCGAUUUCCCUGAAAAUUGUAAGCAUCGAGAAUUGUUCGUCUGCGAUAUCGUUUCCUGGAGAUUGGUUACCCGCAUCCUUAAAGAGUUUGUCCAUCACAGAUUGUAGAAAUCUAGAUUUCCCAAAGCAAAAGCAGCAGCACGAGUCACUUCAAUGGUUGGAUAUAGAUAGUAGUUGUGGUUCUCUGACAACCCUCCCAUUGGAGACCUUUCCCAACCUCAGUGGUCUCCACAUCUGCCAGUGUGAAAAUCUAGAAUGUGUUUCUGCUCCAAAGACUCUUCAAAAUCUUAACGAAUUUGCCAUUUCUAACUGCCCCAAAUUUGCUUCAUUUCCAAGAGAAGGAUUGUCUCCACCCAAAUUGACAUCAUUGUUAGUCGAAAAAUGUGUUAAUUUAAAGUCAUUGCCUUGUCACGCAAAUACUCUUCUCCCGAAUUUAGAAUCGGUGAGUAUACGAGAUUGCCCAGAAAUGGAGACGUUUUGUGAAGGUGGUAUGCCGCCUAGCUUGAGAAGACUUGAGAUAUAUAAAUGCGAGAAGUUAGUGAGGUGCCCAUCUCUAAGUUUGAUGGACAUGCUCACCGAUCUUACAAUUGAUAAUGUAUGUGAUGGUGUGGAGUCCUUCCCCAAUAAGGAUUGUGCGUUGCUGCCUCCCUCCCUUACCUCUCUAUCGCUAAGCAAUAUGCCAAGUUUGCACACGUUGGACUGCACGGAGCUUCUCCACCUCACGUCCCUCCAAGAAUUAACAAUUGAAGAUUGUUACAUGCUGGAGAAUAUGGCGGGAGAAAGGCUGCCUGCUACUCUAACAAUACUUCAAAUCUUUAAAUGUCCACUGCUGGAAGAACGGUGCCGCAUGAAACAUCCGCAAAUUUGGCCCAAAAUUUCCCACAUCCAAGGCAUUUUGGUUGACCACAAAUGGAUUUAGUAAGCUUCAACUGGGAUUUUCAAUCGGUAAUUUCUUCACUUUGCCUUAAUUUUAAUGCGACUUCCCAAUUUCACUCAUACUCUGCAUCAAUUUUUUUAUUUUUUAAACAAAUUAAAGUUAUAUCCUAAUACUAACCCAUCUUUUGUAUCUACUUUAUUUAUCGUAAACAUCCAUCUCUUUUUCAUGUUGUUUGCAGUUUGUUGUAAGAGGUCGCAUAGGCCUAGAGUCAUAACAAAUAUUUUAUUUCAUAUUUUCAAGUAAAGAUUAUUUAAGUGAAAUUGAUGAGCUGAAAUGCACUGCCUUUUCCUUUUUAUACACAAAAAACUUUUCUAGUGGACCUAUCAGUUGUCUCAAAUAUUAAAAAGCUUUCGAUUAGCCUGAUGAGAAACAUUUUCCUCCAAAAAAAGCCUAGUGGAAACAUGCCAAGUUAGUAAAUGGAUAGAGUGUGUGAAUGAUAAUUCUAUGUAGGAGAUUUUGUUCCUUUGUUCUGUCAACCUCGAACAAUGAUACUCUUUUUAUUUUAAAGGAUUUGAUAUUAGUAGAUCUUCACACUUAUGAUCUUUUUUACAGGUGUGCUUAAACAAAA